rnacentral:rRNA from 1 species
CUGGUAGACUACCAGGUAGAUAGGCCGGAGGUGUAAGCCGGGUAACCGGUUGAGCUGACCGGUACUAAUCGGUCGAGGUCUUGACCUG